AGUGAACGCUGGCGGUAGGCCUAACACAUGCAAGUCGAACGGCAGCACAGUGAGAGCUUGCUCUUACGGGUGGCGAGUGGCGGACGGGUGAGGAAUACAUCGGAAUCUACUUUUUCGUGGGGGAUAACGUAGGGAAACUUACGCUAAUACCGCAUACGACCUACGGGUGAAAGCAGGGGAUCUUCGGACCUUGCGCGAUUGAAUGAGCCGAUGUCGGAUUAGCUAGUUGGCGGGGAAAAGGCCCACCAAGGCGACGAUCCGUAGCUGGUCUGAGAGGAUGACCGCCAACACUGAACUUGAGCACCGCCCAACCCCCCUCGGGGGGCCCCGGGGGGGAAUUUUGGGCAAGGGGGCGAAACCCUGUCCCACCCGACCCGGUGGGGUAAAAAGGCCUUCGGGUUUGUAAGGCCUUUUGUUGGGAAAGAAAAGCAGCAGGUUAAUACCCCGCUGUUCUGACGGUACCCAAAGAAUAAGCACCGGCUAACUUCGUG
rnacentral:rRNA from 1 species